rnacentral:tRNA from 1 species
GGCCCCGAGGCUCAUUAGGUAUGAGCGUCUGGCUCAUAACCGGAAGGUAGACGGGUUCGAAUCCUGCCGGGGCCACCA